GCUUGUCCGACAGCUGCGCUGAACUUUGUUAAACAGCAGCAGCGGGGUUUUUCCUUUUCUACGCCUCCUAACAUCUUCACAACACUUGAGACAGCUGUUCAAUAUACGUGUCUCGGCCGAAAAGAAGAGCUAGAAAAGAAGAUACAAUAUUCUUCCUUCAAGACAGCCAGGGUCAACCCCUACACUUGUUUACUCGGGGGCUUUUCUACACCCUCCCACUCGCAGCCACCAGCCACGGUCAGGCUGCUCGCCCAGGCGCUCGCAAGAGCCACUGCACAGAUUUAAAGGCUGCUUUUGAAAACAUGUCCAGCAAGACUGACCUGGGAUCUCCUCAGUAGGGCCAGGCAAAGCUCUUGCAAGCUACAGACACGAGCAGCAGGCUGACACCUGUUAAAAGGUUUGGACUUCUGUGAUGUUCUUGACAUCAACCUGCAAAAUGGCCACAGCUUGGAGGACACCUGCCCUUUUGCCAUCAGCCAUUCGUGUUAAACCAGUGCAGCACCAAUGGGGAGCUUUAGCUAAGAAGACACUGCUGGCAGCACUGAGAAUAGUGGAAGUCUUGUAACCACCAUCACACCCUCUGUCACCUGCGAGAAAUUAAAAUUUUAAGAAGGCUUUUCCUUUAAAACAAAUGCUCAUGAAUGUCACUGCUGCACCUUUGUGAUUUUAAAUUCAAGUUGUAAACAGUCACAGAAUAAAGUUGUGUGUUUUACACAGUUGCCACCA